rnacentral:rRNA from 1 species
AUGGAGGAUGCCGCAACUUCGAAUCCAGCUCCACCCAACACUGUUAUCGAUCUGCCUGAUGAUGAUGAGGAUGAGGAGCCGCUGAAGCACAGGAGGAGUCGGAAAGCGCCUGCCGGCAAGGUGUCUCAGGAUGCGUCAGCGCCUGAGAUUCUGACUGUGGAGGGAGAGAACACCACUCGACACACGGUGACCUUCGCGACCCCACUGACGAGUGCUCAGCAGCCUUCCCUCUUCACGACUCACCACGUCCCAGAGGACCAAGCUGGUGCGGCGAAGGAGGCGAUACGCCAGGCGGGACUCAUGAUGGAGCAGCUGAAGACCAUCCGGGAUGCGAGUCAAGCAGCCUAUGACGCCAGCUCUGCCCUCCAAAGCAAUGUCCAGAACUCCUGUGAUCUUGUGGCUCGCUACUCAGAGCUAGAACAGAAACACACUCAAGUCGAGCUGAGCUUGAAGCUGGUUCAGGAGAAGCUGACAAAGGCGAAGGAGGAGACUGAAGGUAAGGUAAAGGAGGCCCAGCAGAAGAAAGACCUUGAGCUAGCUGAGAAGAUCAAGCUUGCUGACGAGAAGUUAGCUUCAGUCACCAAGCUUGAAUAG